ACACCAAAUGUGCAUGUACUUUGC
rnacentral:siRNA from 1 species